GCUUAGGGUUUUUGAAUCAUGAAACCCUAAAUGCAUUCCUUCGCUAUAUAUAGGGAGAGGACUUCAGAGUUGCCUGAAGCUGUUCCUGCCUUCUCCUGGUAGAAUUUUCAACUUCUGGACAGUUGAUAAGAAGAGAGGAAUGCUGAAACUCCGGGACCGUAAUGCACAUAUCAUUACUCUGAA